GGGGCUAUAACUCAACUGGGAGAGUGCUACGCUGGCAGCGUAGAUGUUAGGGGUUCGAGUCCCCUUAGCUCCACCA
rnacentral:tRNA from 1 species